UCAUUAUUGAGAUGAGGACAUGGAGGCCC
rnacentral:piRNA from 1 species